rnacentral:other from 1 species
AAUGCCCUACUGUGUACGAUCGAACCGGCAAUGUGAUUGAGCCAACACCUUCACAUUGGGAGCCCGGCUCCGUGCGCAGCGUGCAAGCCCCCUCGGGCCGGCUCCGGCCGGCCCUUGUCGGGGAGGCGCAAAACGCAUGGGAGGGCACCCACCUGCGUGAGCGCAGGUUCAAGACACCCCGGUUAAACGGCACAGUGGGGUUUCU